rnacentral:rRNA from 1 species
UAUACGAUGGGCCCGCGUCUGAUUAGCCAGUUGGCAGGGUAACGGCCUACCAAAGCGACGAUCAGUAGCCGGCCUGAGAGGGCGGACGGCCACAUUGGGACUGAGACACGGCCCAGACUCCUACGGGAGGCAGCAGUGGGGGAUAUUGCACAAUGGGGGGAACCCUGAUGCAGCGGCGCCGCGUGAGUGAAGAAGUAAUUCGUUAUGUAAAGCUCUAUCAGCAGGGAAGAAUAAAUGACGGUACCUGAGUAAGAAGCCCCGGCUAACUACGUGCCAGCAGCCGCGGUAAUACGUAGGGGGCAAGCGUUAUCCGGAUUUACUGGGUGUAAAGGGAGCGUAGACGGCGAUGCAAGCCAGAUGUGAAAGCCCGCGGCUCAACUGCGGUAGUGCAUUUGGAACUGUAUGGCUGGAGUGCAGGAGAGGCAGGCGGAAUUCCUAGUGUAGCGGUGAAAUGCGUAGAUAUUA